rnacentral:rRNA from 1 species
GAUGAACGCUGGCGGCGUGCCUAAUACAUGCAAGUCGAGCGAACGGAGGAGAGCUUGCUCUCCGAAGUUAGCGGCGGACGGGUGAGUAACACGUGGGCAACCUGCCUAUAAGACUGGGAUAACUUCGGGAAACCGGAGCUAAUACCGGAUAGAUUCUUUCCUCUCAUGAGGAAAGAAGGAAAGAUGGUUUCGGCUAUCACUUAUAGAUGGGCCCGCGGCGCAUUAGCUAGUUGGUAAGGUAACGGCUUACCAAGGCGACGAUGCGUAGCCGACCUGAGAGGGUGAUCGGCCACACGGGGACUGAGACACGGCCCAGACUCCUACGGGAGGCAGCAGUAGGGAAUCUUCCGCAAUGGACGAAAGUCUGACGGAGCAACGCCGCGUGAACGAUGAAGGCCUUCGGGUCGUAAAGUUCUGUUGUUAGGGAAGAACAAGUAUGAGAGUAACUGCUCGUACCUUGACGGUACCUAACCAGAAAGCCACGGCUAACUACGUGCCAGCCGCCGCCGUAA